CGCACCUUACUGAAGGGAGAUCUCCGAGUAAAUUCAGCAGCCGACUUCCUUUGCUUCUCAAAACUGCCCUGAAUGAGCAGUAGCUGCUUAAUUGUUUACAGAUGAUAUUUAUGCCACUGACGAGCUCUUCCAUCCCUGUGGCUCAGCAGAGCCGAAAAUCAAAUAACCUGAAAUACAGCCUUUACGGUGAGCCACUGUGGCCCAGGCCCUGCCAAGCUCCACCCUGCACCAAGCACACAUCCACCUUUUGGAGUGAAAUGCCCCACACAAGGCAUCCAGAAGGGACAUCCCCAAGAGAUGACACUGCUGCUGGCCCCACCAUUUCCGCAUGGGCCCAGGUCUGCCAGUGAGGACGAGCCCCUGAUGCCACACGGGAACAGAAUGGCUGCUGCAGGGGUCUGGAGGAAAGGGGACGAGCGUCUGCACUGCUGCUGGCAGCUGCUGGAACACAGGAUGGAUCAGAAAAACGCCAGCCUGAGCACCGCACCAGUGAGCACUCGCGCUCCCCAUCCGGACAGCAGCAGCCCCAGUCGCAGCCCCGUGCCCCGGGACCUGCCCCAGCUCACGGCCCAC
ensembl:lncRNA